CUUACGGGGGGCAGCAGUGGGGAAUAUUGGACAAUGGGGGGAACCCUGAUCCAGCCAUGCCGCGUGUGUGAAGAAGGCCCUCGGGUUGUAAAGCACUUUCAGUGAGGAAGAACGCCUGGUGGUUAAUACCCAUCAGGAAAGACAUCACUCACAGAAGAAGCACCGGCUAACUCCGUGCCAGCAGCCGCGGUAAUACGGAGGGUGCGAGCGUUAAUCGGAAUUACUGGGCGUAAAGCGCGCGUAGGUGGCUUGAUAAGCCGGUUGUGAAAGCCCCGGGCUCAACCUGGGAACGGCAUCCGGAACUGUCAAGCUAGAGUGCAGGAGAGGAAGGUAGAAUUCCCGGUGUAGCGGUGAAAUGCGUAGAGAUCGGGAGGAAUACCAGUGGCGAAGGCGGCCUUCUGGACUGACACUGACACUGAGGUGCGAAAGCGUGGGUAGCAAACAGGAUUAGAUACCCUGGUAGUC
rnacentral:rRNA from 1 species